rnacentral:tRNA from 1 species
UCCCUGGUGGCUCAGAUGGUAAAGCAUCUGCCUGCAAUGCAGGAGACCUGGGUUCUAUUCCUGGGUUGGGAA